rnacentral:sRNA from 1 species
AUGGUACACUUUGAGCAAACGGCGACAUGGAAUGGUUGGUCCGAUGACGAAAAGGCUCAGCAAUUAACAAUGAGUCUGCGAGGCUCAGCGCAAAAGAUUUUGGGUGAUUUAAAAGCGGAACAGCUUAAAAAUUAUGAAGAAUUAAAGAAAAUUCUAUGUCAGCGUUUUAACCCAAAAGAACGCGUCGCUGCAUACAGAUGCGAAUUUAGAACGCGAAUACGUAGACAAAAUGAAAGUCUUCAAGAUUACGGUUACGCAUUGCGUAGGCUUGUCUGUCUUGCAUAUCCAGACAGUGAUUUUAACUAUGUUCUUGAAGAACUAGCUAUAAAUCAAUUUACAAAUGGACUUGGAAAUUUCGAAAUGCAAAAGCAAGUACAAUUUUCGCACCCGAAGACGAUCGAGUCAGCAAUAGCGUAUGCUGUUGAAUAUGAAGCAUUUGUCGGGACACAGGCUGAUAUAAGAAAACCGAAAGAUAAGGAAGCCGAAUUUAAUAUUAAAUAUCCGGUACAGGCCGUUAAAAAACAAGACAUAGACAAACCGAAGCCCGAGGAAUGCAAAACUCAAACUAAUGCAUCGGAAGAAGCGUUGAUGAAGGUCCUUGACUAUUUUAAGGAAAUUAGCCAAAAACUUACACAAAUGAGCCUUCCGCGAAAUCAAGAGCGUCACAAUUUUCGAACUCCAAUUCGUUGUUAUAACUGUGGAGAACUGGGUCAUAUUGCAGUGCGUUGUAGGCAACCCCCAAAGGUUAAGAAAGAUGUAAAUGAAAACAACGGGGAUUUAAACAAGUAAGGGUUGAUCCUGUUCCCAAAGGUUCGGCCCCACAGUUGAAAGGGAAUAUGAAAAUCAGAAUAAACCAUAUUACUCCAAAUUGUUGAUAUUUGACCGCUAAAGUAAAUAGCAUUGAUGUUAAACUUUUAUUAGAUACCGGUUCUGCUGUCAGCAUUUUAAAUAAAUCUAUAUUUGAAAAAUUAGGCAUUGCUGAGACGCAAUUAGGUGCGUUCGGAGUUGAGCUUAUCGCUGCCGACGGUAAGCCGAUACCAGUACUAGGGAAAUUUAAGUUACAACUUUUGUUAGAUUGCUGUGCUAUAAAACAUGAUUUUGUAAUUGCUGACAUUGGUGAAAUGGCAGGAAUAAUAGGCAUGGAUUUACUCGAGACGUAUAGUGCCUCUAUAGAUAUAGCCAACGCAGAGAUUAAAAUUUCUGAUCACUCUAUUAAGCUCGAAAAGGAAAAUAGUAGACUUUGUGCUUUUGUAAGGACAGUUAGUAAGGAAAAAAUACCCCCUUUUUCUGAACGAAUUUUUGAAGGGAAGAUAAACGGGUUUCAAGGUGUGGAAAGUGAAAUUUUGUUUGAGCCAAUUAGGUUUCCUGACAAUAAAGGAAUUUUGUUAGCUAGAGCCCUUAUUAACCCCCAACAAGGCAAAGUUCAAGUGUCUGCACUAAAUAGUUCUUCUGUGGUAGUUACUUUGUCAAGGAACUCUAUAGUAGGAUGUAUACAGCCAAUUAAAGCUGUUACAAAAGUGAAUGUUGGGAUAAAUGAUAAACAUGAACAAGCUUUACCCGAACAUUUAACCCCGAUACUUGAUAAAAUAUCUCCUAAAGUAACGGAAAGUCAAAAGCAGUCUAUUAAGGAGCUUUUGAUCGAAUUUCAAGAUAUAUUUGUGGGACCUGACGGAAAGCUAGGCCGUACUAAUUUAGCAAAACAUGUCAUUAACACUGGUGAUGCGAAACCCAUUAAAUUGCCCCCUCGUAGAGCUCAUAUUAGGCAACGAAAGGUAAUAGAAACUGAAAUUCAGAAAAUGUUAGACCAAGAUAUCAUAGAGCCUAGUGAAAGCCCUUGGGCUACCCCUAUUUUGCUUGUAAAAAAGAAGGAUAACUCCGUUCGCUUCUGUCUAGAUUUUAGGAGGAUUAAUUCCGUUACAAAAAAGGACGCAUAUCCACUCCCUAGAAUUGACACUUGUUUGGACUCCCUAGGGGGUUCCGAAUGGUAUAAUACGCUAGAUAUGGCUAGUGGUUAUUGGCAAGUGGAGAUGGAUGAACAAAGUAAAGAAAAGACCGCAUUUACAUCUCAUAUGGGGCUAUUUCAGUUCAAUGUGCUUCCGUUUGGUUUGACAAAUGCUGGUGCUUGUUUUGAGAGACUGAUGGAGUUCGUACUCAAGGGAUAUCAGUGGAAGAGAUGUUUAUGCUAUAUCGAUGAUGUUAUAGUAUUUGGCAAUACUUUUGAAAAUACAUUGACAAAUUUGAGAUUAGUCUUUCAAAGAUUUCGUGAAGCAAAUUUAAAGUUAAAACCUAGCAAGUGUUCUCUUUUUCAAGAUCACGUUUUAUUUUUGGGUCAUAUGAUAUCUUCAGAAGGAAUAACAUGUGAUCCUUCCAAAAUAGAAACGGUUCAAAAAUGGCCCGUACCGACAAACGUCCACGAAAUUCGAAGUUUUCUGGGUUUGGCUGGUUAUUAUCGGCGAUUCAUACCUCAGUUUUCAGAAAUUGCAUCUCCUUUAACCGAACUGACGAAAAAGGGUAGAAAGUUUACAUGGAGCCUUGAAUGUCAAGAAGCUUUUGAAAAAUUAAAAGAUAAAUUAACUUCAGCCCCAAUUUUGAGCUACCCAAAUGAAGAGGGGAUGUUUAUUAUAGAUACUGACGCUAGCAAUAAUGCUAUUGGAGCCGUUUUGUCCCAAAAGCAGGGGAACGAAGAAAAAGUUAUUGCAUACGCUAGUAAGAUGUUGAGCAACACACAGAAACGCUAUUGCACUACGUAUCGAGAAUUAUUGGCUGUGGUUCAUUUUGUAAAGAACUUUAGACAUUUCUUAUGGGGUCAAAAAUUCUUGAUAAGAACUGAUCAUGCAUCGCUUGUAUGGCUUAAAAAUUUUAAAGAACCAGAAGGCAUUGUUGCCCGAUGGAUAUCAGUUUUGGAUACGUAUAAUUUUGUUAUUCAACAUAGAAGAGGUUGUCUUCAUGGUAACGCUGACGCCCUUUCCAGAAUUCCCUAUAGUAGGUGUAAACGUUCUAAAUGUCCUGGUUGUGAGGGUCUUAAUGAGGGAAAUGUAGAGCUAGAGGGAUGUUGUUUUCAUGAUUUUGAAAAACAAGCUGUUUUACCAAUACAGUAUGGGGAAAAUACAAGCACUAUUGACACUUUAAGUACAGAUUCAGAUAUUGAUUCUGACCCAGAAAAUGACAUUCAGUCAAAUUGGUUAGUGAGUUGGGCUGAUGAACAAAUAAGGGAAUGGCAAAAUAAUGAUUCUAAUAUUUCUAAAAUUUUACAACUCAAAUCUGAAUUUGAACAUAAGCCUCCCCGUGUACAUGUAUCAGAUUGUAAUUUCGAAGUGAGGUCGUUAUGGUCUAAUUGGGAGCUUCUUGAAAUUCAAAAUGAAAUCUUGUAUUAUAGAUAUGAACUUGAACAGGGCAUGUCUUUGGUUCUAGUUGCGCCUUACAAUAUUCGGUCAGAUAUCAUGCAUCAGUUGCAUACCCAGAGAAUUGCUGGUCACUUAGGUAGAGACAAAACUCUUAAGGCAGUGAAAUUUAGGUUUUUCUGGCCAGGCAUGUCUACCGAUGUAAUGAACUGGUGUAGGGAAUGCUGGGAUUGUGCAAAAUUUAAACCCGGACCAGGAGCUGGAAAAGCCCCUCUCCAACAGUCAAAAGUUGGAGCUCCUUUUGAUCGUAUUGGAAUAGAUAUUGUAGGACAUUGUCCAAUUACUGCCAAUAAUAAUGAAUACAUUAUAGUGAUACAAGAUUAUUUUACAAAAUGGGUCGAAGCUUUCGCCGUUCCCAAUCACACGGCUCAAACGGUUGCCGAUAAAUUAGUAACUGAGUUAUUCUGUAGGUUUGGUAUUCCCAAACAAAUUCAUUCAGAUCAGGGUAGAGAAUUUUGUUCAGAGUUAAUGGCCGAAGUAUGUAAAUUACUUGAAAUCGAUAAAACCAGAACCACUCCUUAUAGGCCUCAAAGUGAUGGUUUAGUAGAACGACAAAACCGAUCAUUAAAAAAAAUGCUCUCCAAUUUUGUUAACGAAAAUAGAAACGAUUGGGAUGAUCAUUUGCCGUUUUUACUCGUGGCUUAUAGAAACUCAAAUCAUGAUAGUACUGGUUUAUCACCCCAUAAAAUGAUGAUGGGAAGGGAAAUGACAUACCCCAUUGAUAUUUUAGCUGGUAGCCCUCCUAAUACUCCAGAGAGUAGUUGUCAUAUUGAGUAUGUACAGUGGUUGAAACAUGUACUUGAUAAAUCACAUUGUUUUGCAAGGAUGAGCCUUGACAAGGCAGCUCAGCGCCAAAAACAGAAUUAUGAUAGGGGAGUUAAAGCACGGUCUUUUGAGACAAAUGAUUUUGUUUGGAGGUGGAGUCCUUCUGUGGCCGGCGUUAAAUUUGGUAGAGGUUGGAUAGGUCCUUUUGUAGUUUUAGAAAAACUAUCAGAUGUUCUUUAUCGUAUUCAAAAGUUACCUCAGACAAAGCCCAUAGUUAUACAUGUUGAUCAUUAUGAAAUUGUAUUAUGGAGAAACCCCCCUAGCAUGGCAGAUUGA